rnacentral:lncRNA from 1 species
UGUUUAGCCAUGGUCCGCAGAUGACGUUGCGAACGUCUUGUCGGGGCGAAGGGCAGCAGAACAGAGAGCAAAACUGUGUCCCAAGAGCAGCUUGGAUUAGAGUGCACUUGGUAAAGUGUCUUCUGUAGAGCAAAAGUCCAGAAAGAUAAAUUUUGCCAAGAAACUCAGGCGGGGGAGGACGCAAACCAUCGCGCGUCAUCGGACCCUUGACCUGGGCGGGGAAAACACAAACGCGCUGCUGACUGGACCUACAGGCUCGAAUGAUUGUCGAACGCGACUUGUAUAUUUAGUCUCCUGCGAGGAACGCGGUUCUCGGGAAGAGAUCCGUCCGUAGGAGUGCGAACGCAAACGCCUCGGCAGGACUCGACGUCCCCGUGGGACCGCGGCUCGUUUACGUUCCCAAACCCAACGGGAAAUCGUACCUGAUCAUCUCAAGAGGAGGAAUAGCAGGAGAAUGUUCUCCGCUUGUGCUUAUUUUUCUGAGAUGUUUCAUCUGCUUUGCCAGCGAAAUGAACCUGACAGAUGUGCGGUUCCCCAUUCCGAGAAGAUGCUGUUUUUCCCUAAUUAAAUUUGAUUGCGGUGAUUCUGCCGCAUGAGUCGGCACUUCCGUCCCGCGUUCCUGCGCGAGAUGAGUCGGACCCGCGGGUCUCCGAGGGACGCUCGCUUUCUCCGUCCGUCCGUCCCACGGGUCCCUCGGAGGACGAAGAGACCUCCGCUAGGUGCGUCGCGUUUUUCGUUUUCGCCCUCCUUGGAAGAGUGUGGGGACGCGACCGACGGCAGGAUCUCGGCGUCCGCGGCUUCUAGGGCCUUGGAAGCGACGCGGCUCCUGUGCGCUUACGCCGUUUACAUCCGAGGGCCUAGUUUGCGGGCGACCCGGGGUCAAGAGGCAAAAAUGCCGGGCCAGAAACGUCGAGGUGGAACAUCCAAGUUUUCCCUGUCUGCAAGAUCAAUUAACCUGCACUUCCCAGCAGCGCAGGACAGGACAGUGGAGAACCUUCACCUUAGAAGGAGCUCUGAGGUCUCUGAGUCACCUCAAAGGAAAUAA